UACGAAGGGGGCUAGCGUUGCUCGGAAUCACUGGGCGUAAAGCGCACGUAGGCGGAUUGUUAAGUCAGGGGGUGAAAUCCUGGAGCUCAACUCCAGAACUGCCUUUGAUACUGAAGAUCUUGAGUUCGGGAGAGGUGAGUGGAACUGCGAGUGUAGAGGUGAAAAUUCGUAGAUAUUCGCAAGAACACCAGUGGCGAAGGCGGCUCACUGGCCCGAUACUGACGCUG
rnacentral:rRNA from 1 species